CCUACGGGAGGCAGCAGUGAGGAAUAUUGGUCAAUGGACGAGAGUCUGAACCAGCCAAGUAGCGUGAAGGAUGACUGCCCUAGGGGUUGUAAACUUCUUUUAUAAAGGAAUAAAACGAGGCACGUGUGCCUUUUUGCAUGUACUUUAUGAAUAAGGAUCGGCUAACUCCGUGCCAUCAGCCGCGGUAAUACGGAGGAUCCGAGCGUUAUCCGGGUUUAUUGGGUUUAAAGGGAGCGUAGAUGGGUUGUUAAGUCAGUUGUGAAAGUUUGCGGCGCAACCGUAAAAUUGCAAUUGAUACUGGCAGUCUUGAGUACAGUUGAGGUAGGCGGAAUUCGUGGUGUAGCGGUGAAAUGCUUAGAUAUCACGAAGAACCCCGAUUGCGAAGGCAGCUUACUAAACUGUGACUGACAUUGAUGCUCGAAAGUGUGGGUAUCAAACAGGAUUAGAUACCCUAGUAGUC
rnacentral:rRNA from 1 species